rnacentral:rRNA from 1 species
AGUCGAGCGGUAACAGGAAUUAGCUUGCUAAUUUGCUGACGAGCGGCGGACGGGUGAGUAACGCGUAGGAAUCUGCCUGGUAGUGGGGGACAACAUGUGGAAACGCAUGCUAAUACCGCAUACGCCCUACGGGGGAAAGGAGGGGAUCUUCGGACCUUUCGCUAUCAGAUGAGCCUGCGUGAGAUUAGCUAGUUGGUGGGGUAAAGGCUCACCAAGGCGACGAUCUCUAGCUGGUCUGAGAGGAUGAUCAGCCACACUGGGACUGAGACACGGCCCAGACUCCUACGGGAGGCAGCAGUGGGGAAUAUUGGACAAUGGGGGCAACCCUGAUCCAGCCAUGCCGCGUGUGUGAAGAAGGCCUUAGGGUUGUAAAGCACUUUCAGGAGUGAGGAAGGGUGUACGGUUAAUACCCGUAUAUUUUGACGUUAACUCCAGAAGAAGCACCGGCUAACUCUGUGCCAGCAGCCGCGGUAAUACAGAGGGUGCGAGCGUUAAUCGGAAUUACUGGGCGUAAAGCGCGCGUAGGCGGUUUGUUAAGUCGGAUGUGAAAUCCCAGGGCUCAACCUUGGAAUGGCACCCGAUACUGGCAGGCUAGAGUACGGUGGAGGGGUGUGGAAUUUCCUGUGUAGCGGUGAAAUGCGUAGAUAUAGGAAGGAACAUCAGU